AUGGCCCCGCCGCCGCCAUCGCUUGACUACUGGCGCGGCUUCUUCAGCGGCGCCCGCGCCAGCAUCUUCGACACCAUCGACGCCGCCAUCUGCCUCGCGGCCGCCGACAACCCCGACGGCCUCCGCGCGCGCCGGGACGCCAUCGCGCACCGCCUCUACACCGUGCUCAACGUCCUCCCGCCGCCAGAGGACGCUGUCGUGGUGGCGGCGGCACCCGCAUUCCCCGACCGGGCCAGUCGCCACGACCCCAUCGUCGCAGAGGUCUUCAGCGUCAAGACCGCUCUCGCCAGCAACCAACAAAUGUCGGAGGAGGAACUGCUCGACCUGCUCCGGAGGCUUCAGCAGUUGAAAUUCACGGCGGACGCCAUCAAGGUUACUGAGAUUGGAAAGGCAGUGAAACACCUACGGAAUUACGGCUCAAAGCAGAUUCGGAUACUCGUGCGAUCCCUCAUCAAUAACAUCUUUGGUGAGCCACAUUGUAGAGGUUGGCAGGCUAUAGUCAGUGAGUGGGUCAGCGAUGAAGGUGCCAUUGUAGGUAAGGUGCCCUAA
rnacentral:rRNA from 1 species